ACACUUAUAUAAAUUCUUUGUUUCUUAAGUUAUAUUUGAAAAAAAUUUACUUUUUAACACAAAUCAUCACAUACUAUAUAACAUUACCUAUUUGUAUUUAUUCUUACGUUUUCCCUUCAGUAGUGGUGGGCUAAUGCCAUGAUUUAAAUGAAGUAUUGAUCAGUUUAGGAGGGGAGAAUGGAGAGAGAGGGAGCGAUUGUGAGGGAAAGAAAGCUAGACCAGGGUUAUCGGUGUGGAUCGCACACAAGAAAGAGACUGCUAACGGAUGAGACACGUUUUAAGCGAUUCCGUAAAAUGGAUUUCUGCAUAAACUGCAUUUUUAAAUUAGGAAUUACAGCCAGGUUCUUCUGUGUGACACACUGCGGGAGGUAAAGAUGGACGCUGAAAUUACAACAUUGUUUUGAGCACAACAGAAAUUGCCUUUUUUCUUCUUGUUCCAUGUUUUUAUGGAGUAUUUGCCAUUCCAAAUACAGAUGGUUAAAGAGUUUUGGUCCUGUUAGCUGUCCGUGAGUCCAUUUUGUCUCCAUGACACCUGCAGCAGCAUCGGGCUCACCGGACAAAGCCUUCGUCCAACUGAACCAGGAGCUUGCACCCUGCCUCCUUUGUGUUUCCGCAUUUGGACAUCCUGGAGCAAAUAUCUCUCAGUUGCUGCUUGACCAGCUGGAAAAGUGGAUGGGUCUUUAAAGGACCAGCUGUAUGCCAGAACACCUGAAACAGGUUGAGACCUCAACCAGGCCUAAGAGCUCUAGUGUCAGACCAAAGUGAAGACCCUCCCACUGUAUGGCAAAAUAUCCAACAUGGCUCCUUCCCUCAGCAGUCAGUGUUUCCUCCCUGAAGUGUCUGAAUAUCGACCAGGCCUCAGUGACACCACACCUGCUGGAAAUUUCAGGUAUUUGACUACAAGAGGAAUGCUGAUUGCAAGAGGAGAGAGGCAGCAGAUGAAUCAAAAUCUCAUAGCCUUUGUUUUUUAUCUGCUAUUAUAGUUGCAGAGUUGGAAAACUUUCUUCUGAAGACCUUAUCCCUGAGGGGACUCUGCCCUUUGGAGACAUUUCUAACAUUUUGGAAAUUACUACGAUUGAGAAGAUUCUACUUUUAGUAUUAUAAUGACCUUCAAUCAUCAGUGAAAAGAACUAAAACAUGUUCAAUUGGUGUAAUAUUAAAAAAUACAUAAAAUGAACAGUGAAUAAAGGCUGUGAAAUCACAGUCACAGGCUAAUUGUUCUGUGAAGACUUUGAGUUUUUCUGAUUAAUGUCAGAGUACCUUAAAGCACUAUGUUGUACUUUUAUCUUUUAUAUAUUGAUCUUUAUUGUGAUUAUUGCAUUUCUGUAUGUUGACAUCUACAAAAGAAGGUAUGCUUAAGUAGCACCCAGAAACUACUCCUAAAGUAAAAUGCCCACAAGUCAAAACAGCCAAAAUCUUAAUGAGUCUGGCCAGAUAGAAAAGGAAUUUCUGCAAAAUAAAAGAAUAAUAAAGGUAUCAAACCCUUAACAAGUCUACCUUUGUUCUUCCACUCCACCCACCACAAGCAGGCAUCGCUGCAGCUCUGAGGGCAGCUCUGAGAGUUCCAUGCCCAUCGGCCUUCAAUCACUUGGGAUGUCUGAGUUUGACAGUAUAAAGUCUUUCUUCUAGAACAAAAUAAGACCCCUAAGCAAUAGUGGAUGAGCUGUUAGUAACUAUGCACUCCAUGGGGAAGUAGAUCAAGCUUGGUAGUACAGUACACACAAAGUGCUGGUUUGGGAUAAGACAAUGGACCUUUGAAAGCAGGACUGGAUGCCACAACGCUCCCCCAUUUCUUGCCAUUUGAUUCCCUGCAAAUGUAUCUUUGUUGUUUUAAAACUGACACGAGUAAAACAAAGUUCCCCCCUUAAUUUCUACAAUAAAAGUGUUCAACUAUGUAAUGUUACACAGUUUUCCCAACAAAUUUGUAAGUGUUGCUUUCUACCAGCAGCAGACCUGCAGGAGAAGAUUGUAGAAAAUAUAAAUUGAAUUUUAAAAUGGUGUGAGAUAGGAGGUCAGUUAUAGACUUAGUGGCACUAUGGAUGGAUUUAUUUAGUAUUAACACACAGAUGACUUGGUACCUUUUCGUGGUUGAAGUCAUAUUUAAAAUACUUCCAGCAUUAAUGUCAAUAUUCAACACUUUGAGUGUCCGAGAAAACUAAAACUUACCAAGUAUUGUUAUUCAAUACCUUGGAUCUUUCCAUAAUAUCAUGUUUAGAUGUGAUCUUUAUCCUUCUAUAUCAUGCUAUUGAUAUCCUGCAAAGGAUUAACUGAUAUUUGCCAAUACAUGGACUCAUAAUAAAUAGGAAUAUAUAUAUAUAUAUAUGCAGGUAGUGUCGGAAAUCUACACUACCUGCAGAUUAGUGACACGUCAUGCAGGUGUAGUGAAUAUUACUGGGCCAGAGCUCAGACACAAAGAUUAAGAUGACACUUUGACAUAAUGACAUAGGCAACUCCUAUUAGGAUUUUAAAACUUUUUAGUUGUAUACAGUUAAAAGUUGAAAAUAAUUGAUACCACUUGCAAAUUGUGAGUCUGAUGAUAAAUUUAAUGUUUUACAUCAUUUCAUUUAGUCCCAAGCUGUUCUAAAGUUCCAUAAUUAUCCUGAUUAAUUGGGGGGAAAAUGUUUGUAUCAACUCAAAAGGUGAAAAAACCCCAUUUCUGCAUAAAACAAAAGCGCUGCAGCUCCAGAUUGUGUCAGUGUGUGACAAGUAAUCAAAAUAAAUAAGAAAAAUAGACCUCAACACCAGUCUGCUGAGAACUUUGGUCUUGGGAAUGAUUACAGUGAUUUCAAAGAGGGCUUCCAGCUUCAAAGAUUUUGUUGCAAUGGAUGGUCAGUGACAUCACUGACCAUAUAGUUCGAUACUCAAAUAGCGUCAAUAAAGAGAAAAUGAAUAUUCAUAAGCUAAACUGUCAAUUGGCAGACCUCAAAGUAACUUAAGUAUGCUUAAGUGGUAAAGGUGAAAUACAUGUAUUACUCAUCAGAAAACAUUUGUACUUUUUCACUCUGAUUGUAUCCAACCAGCCGUCUUCUGACACAAAUAGUAACCUUCUGUGUAGUUUCUAUUUUUAAACAUGUUGUGGCAGUCCUUUAAUGCAUGACAUGGAGACAAAUAUGUUAACAUAGUAUACUGCUGCACCAAAAAGGUUAGCAGUGGGUGUGACAUUAUUCCCAGACCAGGAUUUUGUGGGGUACCAAAUUGAGCAAGCUUUAAUAAAACACACUAUAUAUUUAUUUAAUUUUUAAAAUAAUUAUAUUUGUUGCAAAGUAAGAAACAUAUCGUUGAGGCAAAAAGUAUGUACUCGUCUUCGCGGGAAGUUUUUGUUUUGUUUCAUUUUUCUUAUACAUCCCCUGCUGUCUGUGUUUAUUCAGUUCAAAAAUAUCACAGUUCAGUGGUUUUAAUCUCUUUUCCCCCCGUGAACAUGCUGUUAGUCACAGGGAUGCAACACACAAACAGGCAUUAAUGCUCCAGCUGGCCAUCGCACACUGAUUUGAAAGCCACUCUAUCACAAAAAGCAGUUAUAAAGUGAAGGACAGCUAACAACGAGCAUACAUGCCCUCCCGUUUCCAUCAUAAACCACACGUGGGUUCAAACCCGCUGAACGUAAAGGACUACAAAAAACAAGGGGUGAGGUGUGGGGCUGUGUAACAUUCAAAAUUCAAUCAAGUGAAGGCCAUCUCCAGCAGGGUAACAGCAUGUGGAGGCAGGGAGGGGGAUAAGGGCGAACUCAGCUGAAGUUUCCACUGGGCCCGCUGAGCUCCUAAUGCAGCCUUGGAUGUAAUUGGGUCCCAGAAGGCUGUUCAUUAUUGCUGGUGAGCGAGGCAACAAAACAAAAAAAAAGGGGGUAGUGGGGAAAAGAAAAUGUCUCAUUCUUUGCUCAGUGCCUUUGUCCUGGCAACAUUAUGGGACACGAGUUAAUUAAAAGAGCACUUGAUGCCUCUGUUUUUCUCAUCAAUCUCGCUUCUGCUCUUAUUAAGUUUGUAAUGGCAGUGGAGCUCGUCGCUGUCAGCCAGCAGACUUUGAACCAGCGGGAAGGGCAGUUAACAUGAGGGACAACUCAUUUCAACAAAUCUCUCAGUGGUCAACAUCUAACAUCAGCAUAAUCUCUUCAUCAAGUCUCGGGCCGAGAAUAUGUAGUCUGCAGGGGACAGAUGCCUCUUACGUAGCGGCAGCUUUAAUCAUCCGGGUGUGGCAGAGGAGCCUGUUUAAGAGGCGUGGUUCUGCACCUAAUCCUGCAGCUCCUAUCCACACCGCCUUGGAGGCCAUUUUAAUUCUCUCUAUCAUUACAGGGCCCUUCUCCGGAAAGCUGUAGUAAAGGUGACUGCUGACACUGUCAUUCACAAGGACUAUUUCAAAAUGUCAGCCUGUAGCUGAGAUUUGUCUCAUUAAAGUUGGUGGAGUCCAUUAUAUCCGUCCCCUCCUCCACCUGCCACACUCAAUCAAGAAAAACUCAGAGAACCGAAGGGGUUGAGGGCACAUUCAUAAUGUGCUUAUUUGCAUGAGGGUUACGGCAGACAGAUGAUCACUGACCAACAAGAAAGGAGUGAAGCGGUGGGAUUCAGCUGAGACACAAACAUAGUUAGUUACUGAGCUCUUAUUUGUCUUUCCUUCUGGAUCCAUGCCAGUUGGAAAGGCAGGUUUUAGCAGAUGCUUCGAAGUGCAACUGUGAUAAAGACAGCCGAGCAUCAUCCAAGCUUUUGUUCAACAGUCUUGUGACCUGAAGUUUUACAUACAGCUUCGGCAAAUCCAGAAACAAGAUACAUCUUCACAUUGGAGGCAUUGAAAAGCACAGGGAUCACAUUGGUAGAUGUGUUGCGUGAUCUGAGAAAUGGGAGGACAGAUGUGGGUUUCUUUUUUCCUUUCCUCUGAUUUUCCUUCACCUCUGCUCAAAACUGUGGAAACAAACACAGUGGGAAUUUUAUUACAGCCAUUAAUAUUGUGGAGCUGUAUUUUUAUGUUCCCUUCUCUUUGCAAAAACAAGACCUUAGUGAGAUGAAGGUUGUUGAAAGAACAAGUUCCAGAGUGCAAUAAAGUUUUGAAAGUUGGUUCACUGAAAGUUUUUUUUUUUUUUUUCUCGCUAUUGUUACAAGGAAUUGCUUUAAUAAUCAUUAGGCUCCAGCUUUUUAAACUUUUUUUAUGUUGGUAUGUUCACUCAAAAAAAAUCAAAACAAGCAUUUUUGGAGACCUUGUCAAUAAUUAGAUGAGAGAGAAGUACCUAGAGGGCUAUAUAAAAUCAUUUACUGUUUUCCUAAUGUAUAAUUUGUUGUGGCAAAAACCAAUUAAUUUUAGUCCACAUAACUUCCCAAUUGAUCAUUAUCCACAAUUAUUUGUUGAAGUCUUAUUUUCUCUACUGCCUAAUUAAGGUUGUGGCAGAAGAAAAUAAUUCAGUUGUUGGCAUGCUGGCAUGUGCACAGCUGAGAACUUGUAAAUUAAUCACCCACCGUUGUUUACUCUUGCUUGUGCAUCUGUAAAUAUAAAUCACUGAACCUGCAAGUAGGCAAUUUAUGGGGUAAAUUUGCAUCGCUUUCACUUAUUAAGUUAUCAUUUGUGCCACCGCAAAGCCAACCUAAACGUGCCCACAUUAAUCAAAUAUCACUAAAAAAAAAGACCUUUGAGAACCUAAAAUAUUAAAUCAGAUUGUCUGAGAUUACAAAACGUACGUAAUGUUUAUUUUCUUCCAUUUACAUCAAUUGUUAAAAGAAGCAUGAGAUAGAAGAACAAACACAAUGUUUACAAUUUAGCCACAGCUGCUUUAUAUUUCAGCCAGGGAUGAACCAAUCAACUGGGCACAGUUCAGAAUCAGAUGUCCUUUCUUGAUCAUCUGCUUUUUCCUCUAUUCCUUAAAUGCAACAAAAUAACUCCCCCCAUUUUCAGUCUUUAAACACACCAACAAUCAACAUGUAAUUUUUUUUUUAGAUGAAUAAAAGCCAGAUAAAGGUAACACAUUAAAGCUAAAUGAGGAUUUUUUUUUUUUUAGCUCUUGCAUUUUCUAUUGCUACUUUUAUCAAAGAAUCUGCACCACAUUUCCUCUUGCAAUUCUUUAACAAAUAAAAAGAGAAGAAAAACUGGUUUUACCUAGGAAAAACCUGAUUGGUGCAUCUUUAAUCUCAACCACCUGAGAGAGCAGGGAAGGGAGUCCAUCAAAAUGAUUCACUUGAAAACUAUUUUUCUUCAGCACAAAUUACAGAGCAAAAGGUUUGUUUGUGUUUUUAAAUUAGAGCCAUGAAACUGUAACGGCUAACAUGAAGAAGUAGCAAUGCUGCAGUGCACUACUUUGUUGGAGCGAGUUCAACACCAAGAAGAAAAAAGGUCAACCAUCAAAGCCUGCAUGACAGUUGUGUGCAUUGCCAUCCAGCUGUAUGGGACAGUACAGUUCGAAUGACGCUUCAGUCUGUGGAGAAGCCCUUCAAGGUGAUAAACACUGUUCCACCCACCACACAAGAACUACUACACAAAGAAGCAACACUGAAUUUGUUUGUUUUUUUAGUCUGACAACAGAAUUAA